AUGCUUACAUGUAUUCCUCUGUUUCUAAUUUCCGUCCCAUAUUCCUUUUUUGCUUUAAAAAAAAACACCCAUUUUCAAGUUGGUUACUUACUAGUAAUCCUCAUUCCUUAUUCGUUACAUUACACGCUUAUAUUGUAAUUUCACCUCUAAGAAUCCAUAGCUAACACCUGGGGUUUAAGUCAUAAAACUUUGCUCAGUGUUCGGAGCACACAAAUUAUGC
rnacentral:lncRNA from 1 species